rnacentral:rRNA from 1 species
GACGAACGCUGGCGGCGUGCUUAACACAUGCAAGUCGAACGGAAAGGCCCUGCUUUUGUGGGGUGCUCGAGUGGCGAACGGGUGAGUAACACGUGAGUAACCUGCCCUUGACUUUGGGAUAACUUCAGGAAACUGGGGCUAAUACCGGAUAGGAGCUCCUGCUGCAUGGUGGGGGUUGGAAAGUUUCGGCGGUUGGGGAUGGACUCGCGGCUUAUCAGCUUGUUGGUGUGGUAGUGGCUUACCAAGGUUUUGACGGGUAGCCGGCCUGAGAGGGUGACCGGCCACAUUGGGACUGAGAGACGGCCCAGAAUCCUACGGGAGGCAGCAGUGGGGAAUAUUGCACAAUGGGCGGAAGCCUGAUGCAGCAACGCCGCGUGCGGGAUGACGGCCUUCGGGUUGUAAACCGCUUUCGCCUGUGACGAAGCGUGAGUGACGGUAAUGGGUAAAGAAGCACCGGCUAACUACGUG